rnacentral:rRNA from 1 species
CCUAUUUACGUUUGAGAAAUGGGGUGACGCAGUAGGAUAAGAUGUGCGCACUAUUGGAUGUGCGUCUAAGCACUUAGGCAUGCUUGAUAGGCAAAUCCGUCGAGCUAAGCUGAGGUGUGAUGGGGAGCCAUUUAUGGCGAAGUAUCUGAUUCCACACUGCCAAGAAAAGCCUCUAUCGAGUGAAUAGGUGCCCGUACCGCAAACCGACACAGGUAGGUGAGGAGAGAAUCCUAAGGCCAUCGGAAGAAUUGCUGUUAAGGAACUCGGCAAAUUGACCCCGUAACUUCGGGAGAAGGGGUGCCUACGAAAGUAGGCCGCAGAGAAUAGGCCCAAGCAACUGUUUAGCAAAAACACAGGUCUCUGCUAAAAGCGAAAGCUGAUGUAUAGGGGCUGACGCCUGCCCGGUGCUGGAAGGUUAAGGGGAACACUUAGCGUAAGCGAAGGUGUGAACUUAAGCCCCAGUAAACGGCGGCCGUAACUAUAACGGUCCUAAGGUAGCGAAAUUCCUUGUCGGGUAAGUUCCGACCCGCACGAAUGGCGUAAUGAUUUGGGCACUGUCUCAACAGCAAAUCCGGCGAAAUUGUAGUGCAAGUGAAGAUGCUUGCUACCCGCGAUUGGACGGAAAGACCCCGUAGAGCUUUACUGUAGCUUAGCAUUGAAUCUCGGUAUUGUCUGUACAGGAUAGGUGGGAGACUUGGAA